UGAGGAAUAUUGGUCAAUGGGCGCAAGCCUGAACCAGCCAUGCCGCGUGCAGGAUGAAGCAUCUAUGGUGUGUAAACUGCUUUUGUACGGGAAGAAACCACCCCUCGUGAGGGGUAUUGACGGUACCGUAAGAAUAAGGAUCGGCUAACUCCGUGCCAGCAGCCGCGGUAAUACGGAGGAUCCAAGCGUUAUCCGGAAUCAUUGGGUUUAAAGGGUCCGUAGGCGGGUCUGUAAGUCAGUGGUGAAAUCUCCCCGCUCAACGGGGAAACUGCCAUUGAUACUGCAGGUCUUGAAUUAUUGGGAAGUAACUAGAAUAUGUAGUGUAGCGGUGAAAUGCUUAGAGAUUACAUGGAAUACCGAUUGCGAAGGCAGGUUACUACCAAUGGAUUGACGCUGAUGGACGAAAGCGUGGGUAGCGAACA
rnacentral:rRNA from 1 species